CAAGGUCAGUUAGGCCUCUGAGCCUAGUUUAAGAUAAUGGGCGGCGUCUAUAUGGCGCCGUAUAUGAUUAGAACGUGCGAGGGAAGGAGGCGAGCUGCCUGGCGGGAGGAAGGGAGAGAGAAGGAGUGGGCGCGCAAGCGGUUACCGCUGCUGGGACCACUCUGCACACCUCAGCACCCACGCGCUGGUCCCCCGCGCCGACGGUGGGACCCGCGGUGGAUAGCGGCACGGCGCCACCGGGACCGGGGGCGGCACCCGCGGGCGCACCGGCCCGCUGGCGGCCGCGGUCUCCCUCGCGUACAAGGCGCUCCUCAAACUCGCGGCGGCGUAGGUCGAAGCGCUCGAGACGGCGCGGCAAGCGCAGCUGUGGUAGCGGCUCGACGUCCUCGACGAGACGCGGUACCAGGAGCGGCUCACGCAGAUGUUCUCCGGACAAAGACUCUACUACUCUAUAUAGUUAUUCAAGUUUAGACUAAAACCACCUUUGUAAUAAAGUGAACUCGCACAAGUCGGUAGGAACCUGGUACAUGGUGUAGCUAUAGAAAAUCGCCUCCGACCACUGUGAGAUAAACGAUGUAAAUAGCCGUGUUUGGUUAUGUUUCUAAAAUAACGACUACACUUAUAUGAGGUUCCUUGGUAUAAAGUGCUCCUAUGUCGAGUCCUAAAUCGACUACGACAACUGAGACUCGUCUUGUCACUGGUUAAACCACUUCUUUUGUAACCCCAUAGGACAGCUCUUUUUGGUUUUGUCAAGCCCUUUAGUUUUGGACGACGUGUGUCUCCAAAAAAUCGAGCACGAUUCCCUUAGGGUCGUGACCUCGAUAUGUUUGAACGUGUCUUUUUCUUGUCUUUUGAACAAGAAACACCAGUAAGCGAACCGCCUCGCCAUCGACGAAACCGAUGAGAACGAUAUAAUUCUCAUGAUAGGAGCAGCAGAGGUUGAUUUCUCCGAUUGUCCGAAGUCCACUUCACAUAGUGCAAAAGAGUCGGUGGACAACCCUUACGACGUAAUUCUCUAAUACAAGUAGCUUCUCCUACCGUUAUGAUGAAGUUUAGCAUGACAUAAGGUCUCCUACACCACGGGGCAUAAGACAGUGGACGCAUGAAAGUAGUGAUGUUACGGGUUUGUUGGCUUCGUAGAAAACGUUUAUCUCACCUACAUUCUAGUCUUCUUUUAUUCUUUUAUUCGUGACUUCCACGGCACCUAUUGUUAUCCCUUGUUGAACAAGAACCACAACCGGGACAAGUUUUCAGUGAGACCUCUGAAAGUUUCGAACAAGGGCAACUUCCUCACGCCUUCUCAAAUUCACAUGAAGUUUUUGUUCGUUUAUAAAAACUUUUCCGUAGGUGUGUCAACCUAUCAAUAAACGUUCGCUUCCAACUACUUAGCCUUCUUCUUGGCACCAGAGAACUUUAAGUCCUUCCAAGUCUUCCCUAACGAGAAUGGGGAAAUAGACUGUUAGUACCUCCCUGGUGACUUCUUGUGUUAUCCUGACUUUUUUAAUUAAGUAGAUUUCAACCUACAAGGUUCGCCACCUCAUCUCACGGAAGAAACGGAAGUAUAUAUGGUAAACCACUCGAAAUGGACAACCCUCUAAGUAGUCAAUGAUGUGAAAGUCUAAGUCUUAUGAGCUUCUACUGCAGCGAAACCGCCGGCGAAUCGGCGGGGGGCCUGGCACUGCGGUAGAGGCGGAAGUAGCGGCUGUAGGCAAGCUACCGGCAGGCGGACAGCAGCGGCGGGGGCGGCGGAGGCGGCCUAGGACUGAUCCGCGGGACACAAACCACACGCCCACAACAAAAAGAAAAGGAAAACCCGAACAACUCGACACGGGAGUCGUCUUGGAUACAUGAAACAGCACUCUGAACCCACACACACACACCUGAACGCACCUAAACAUACGAGAAACCGCCAAACGAAAUAAAUAUUUCGCCCCGCUUUCGGAAAAAGCCAUAUAAAGACUAAAACACGAAGGUUUUGUGACGUUUUAAGAAGUAUUAAAACACAUCAAUAGACGUUUCCUGUUACAACUAAAACACAAAGGGGAACUACCAUCGUAGUGGUUCAGGUGGUGUACAAAAACUUGAAAUCACAUUUGUUAUCCUUUUCCUGAGGAAGGACACCUGGAUACGAAUCUCAACAACAUCCUCUUGAGGCGCUUUCUAUUUCGGUUUGGUAACCGGGAAGGAAAGAGGUGUUUACGUUGUUAGUCUAAUGGGUUUUAAAAGAAGUGGUGAAGACAAACGGGUAAACAAACAUCUAACUGUCACGAUCUUUUAAAAUUAAGUCACAACUUAACGAAGGUGUUUCACUCCGUUUAACGUCGUUCUUUGAACGAUAGUGCCAGACUCUGUUACCUGGAACCUUGAGGUACUUCAGACUGGUGAAGUGCUUUCUUUUCUAAACGGUGUACUACUCGUAGGCAACAGAACGCCGUACAUUACUUUACUCGGUAAAAUCUCUUAGACAGUUGCUGGUGUUUGUCUUGUAGCGAGGGAACAGACCAUGAACCGUUUGGGUUCCGCUUCAGGUAUCUUUAUAGGAGGGUACCUCGUUGUCCUUGUACGUUUCCGUACAUAUUGAAACACAAAUCUUGAACCGGAAACGUCCAAACUGUAUACCCCGUGGUAACUUGUUUAAAAGGUCGUAGAGAGAAAUCAAGACAGGUUAUUAUUGCUCGGAGAUCCAAUCGUUAUCAGAACAGUGUAGGUUGUACCGGUGAUUCUAGUGAACUUACCUCGAUUGAAGAACCCUACAUGUUUGCUAGUAAAAACUUCUCUAUCGGUUGAACGUGGUCCAUCAGUAGUGGACCGGUGACAACACGACAUGGGCUUGUACCGGUUUCAAAAGCAGCAGGAGUAUGUUGUGGAAAUAAACCAGGUACGGACCUUCAAGUUGGGAUUAAGCAGGUUCCCCAUACCAUAUAUAUCAGAUCCCCCAUCUACCCCUAUGUACCCGACUUUGGGAUCAGAGACGUGAGUCCGUCCAUGGCCUACAGGCCGGGAGUUUUCUUCAGUUCUCUGUACGUGCUGUUGAGUUUCGUAGCCAAGAACGAACCAACGAGGUCUAAAUACGUGUAACUCUAUCAAUUUGGAGAGGUUUAUACGACGGGUAGAACGUUCGUACGCUAGCCGUACGAAAACUAAAGAUUUUACGAAAUUCCUAACUACCAGUCACAUUUGUUACUUGAGAAAUCCGUCAUUUAUCUGAAGGGUUCCAAAAUUUCGAGACUUUGUUGUAUGUUAAGAACGACUGUUCACGAGGUAAAGUCGGUACUAACCGAAUUGAAAAGUGACUUCUUUGGUUACCCGAAGGAAAGAACUCUAUUUUGUCGAGUUUACGGAUGAGGUGAACGUAGUAUGAGGUUGACUUUUCAGAUCAACUUUAGUCCAUCGUGGUUUUGUCCUCGAAGACUCUCAAAAACGAACUAGAGAUCGAAGUCGACGAAGACAGGUAACUUUGAAAGGAGAGAAGUUCGUGAGCCAUUAACCACGGAACUAUAACGACUUUAAGAAGUGUUUAGCGGAUUUUCCAACAUCCCGGUACUUUUGAAUAAUGGAGUCUUUACCAGAAGUCUCAACCCGGUAAGAGUUUAAAGGAGUUGGAAUCUUAACACUUCCUCAUAAUCAUAAUCCGGAUCCUUAGGAUAAUCCGAUACAAAGGAAAGGAACAUGGGGUUCAGAAUACAUUAUAUAUAUGCGGGGUACGCGAUAGGUUGUCUCUAUUCAACGUAGGUAUUGUACCAUAGUACUGGAGCUAAGUCCAGCCCGGAUCGGAUUUCCAGUUUGCGGGGCUAGGCCGCUGAGUGCGGGAGCUAGGUCUAGUCUCGCCUGGAGGUCCAGUUACGGGGCAGGUAGGGCUAGACGAAGUAACGGCGGUAACAGGUUGCAGGCGGUCGCACCGGACGCACAAGGCGGUUUUGUACUCGGUAGGGGACCGGUCACAGAGGUCGCGAGGGCAGUGGAGGACCUACCGCGCCGGGGUCGGUGGAAGACAACGCAGCAUGCCGAGUGGGGCCAACGACGACGAUCGUGUGCCAAGACGGACGAACGGAAGACGUCAGUGCGUAGAGAGAGAAGACAACGACCAACGGACGGCACACGAACAAGGACGAGCAGCACCGGUUCACGACCGCGACCGACGAAUCGUGAACCCGACGAGGACCAACUAAGGACGACGAUGUUCCAGUUUCUGAUAAUGCGCACCGACGACCUAAAACCAAACCAACGAAACAAAGUAGUGGUGUGAGGUAACUUUUUUUUCUCACUUUCUUUUUUCUCUCUGUCUUUUUUUUACAAGAGCAACUCAUGCGUACAGGGAACUACGGGCGACGGAGAACUACCACAAAGAAUGUAACUGGGUUAGAGUGUGUACGUAGCAGAGAGCCACGAAUCACGAGCAGGCGUACACUAAAACAAGGGAAGCCGCAGAAAGCGUCCGACACAACCAGUGAGAGGUCGCUAAAGAGAGUACUAAAAGCAGCCACCACUACUAGCGAGAUGUGGAUGAAGAUAUCUUCCAAUGUGAAGUCGCUGAGGAGAACGCUGGAGACGUGUACCACUAGUAACGAGAUGUAGAAGAGAGCACGAAAAGUACCUGAUGCGGAGCAUGUGUGCGGAAGGGAACCGCGAACCACGAACAGACGUACAAUGGAGCAGAGGAGGCAGACGGAGACGUCUACUAUGAACAGUACGAUGUGGCGGAAUAGAUAGUCGAGGUGAGAACGUAGGUACUACCGAACGUGAAAGAGUCACACACGAGGGAUCGAAGAUGCAGAUAUAAAAAGAGACGCAGGUAGUUCAGGCAACGAGAAGGCACAAAGAUUACGGUACGUUCAGGUGGUAUGGAAACAGGCAGUCGGAAAAAAACCAGGAACAGGAAAUAUAACCUAAAAACACCGGCGAAAAACGUAACAACUAGAUGUUGGUAAGAGAACGGCGGCUCGAAGAAAACGGCGGCCAAAAGAACCCGAGCUAAAACACGUGUUACGAAGUAAGAGAAGUACACGGUAGAAGAAAACUGUUGGGAAGAAGAAAAACUAUGAAUAGAACAUAGAAGAUGACUACAUCACAGAAGGAGACUACGUGGUAGAAGAAACAAUAGAGGAAAUCGAACUGAGCUGUCCAAAACUUCUGAAAAGUACGAUGGUGCUGUAAGAGUUCUGCGGCUAAAACCUAAUAGUAAAAAAAGGUCACAAUGCGAAAAAGUUUACGUUACGAUAACGUAUGCGAAACGUAAACUCCCAGAUUGUACAUAUCAAACAGAAUAGCAGACUGUAUAACAGUAUAACCUAGAUGAGUAAAGAGAACGAGACAAUACCGUUUCCGUAAACGUCCACGUCAGACAAUAUUACCUCAAUUCUCUCGCAGAAGUCAGUGUGAGCUACUUUAGGAUGUCUCGGGCGAAGGUUUUUUACAUAGUACACACGUACACACGUUUACGGGGGGAAAAAUGCCCGUAGCUCGUUGAUGUUGUUAAAAGCGUAGAUGUUGUCGAUGAACCAGACUGUCGAUGACUAAGACAACUUGAACCAGUGUAACACCUCGGAGGACGGUAAUCUUGACGCUGAAGAUAAGAAGGAGAACCUACCUGACCGGAAGGACCACCGUUUUCACGACUUGGCGACUUUCAUCUAUAUUAACCUGUGCCAGACGUAUACACGUGAGAAAAGGUCCGAGUCUAUUUACCUUCGACCAUAAGUUGCCGGCAACUUUGGGAUGGUAGUUGCUGUAGUAAAAGUAGCCUAGUCCUCCACGUUGGAUGUAACGUUUUUUACGCCUAAAAUCAACCUGCAGGUGAUUUCGUCGGAGGUUUAAUGUGAUCACUCCUGAAAUACCAAGGACACCAGUGUCCACGAUACUUAGGUCUAAUACCUCAACUCGGGAAACUUCUAUUUCCAACAACGUUCCCAAACUUACUUCAAUAAUAUAUACCAUGUUCACUAAAACAUUGUUAUACAUUCCUACAGAUACAAUCCUGGGCCUCUCACGCUAACGAACCUGAUCUCCCGCGCCCAUUUUGAAGGAAUUAUUUUCGUUACAAUCCCGUUGAAUUUCUUUCUUUGUUACGUCAGGAACUCACGUAUGUACAUCUGAACGUACCGUUCCGUCAUAGUUUACCUAACACGAUGAAUCUAAGCCGUUGUCACUUCAACGUCCUGGAUGGAAAUCUUCAAUCCGCGAAGUUUCUUCUUGACGUCAAUCCUUACGUACUAGAGUCGUCCUUCUGACUGGAUUAAUAACAACACGUAUUGGAUCGUGUAGUAUAAGGUGUCAUAAUGGUCAGGUUGAGAAGACUUGGAGUCGGUCGAGAAAGUGAAGAAAACCUACUUCGGUUCCAAGAAACACAAGGGACCUAAGAACGUUAUUGGUUGUUUAAACCACAGUCGCGCGUACUUGUCUUGUGUAAUUAGUCAAGUCGAUACCUUCGUAUAUUUCGAAGAGGACUAUUGUGGUUCCAACAAUUGAGAAGAGGUAAAGAUUACGGUUCACGAUUUUUAUCAGACGUAGGGUAGUCAAGAUGGUCACCGCUAAACCUCCUCCUAAGAAAGCCGUCUCGGCGAAAAGUGGGUCAUUUGAAACGCAACAGUGGUAAAGUAUCCUUCCUGUAACAAUACGUACACCUCCCACAACGACGGGAAGUUGUCGUAGAUGUAGUUCACUAACACUCAUUACUUCUUGGUCGAAAACUCCUCGAACGAGUACUCUUUAACAGGGAUCUCGAACGUUCUCUCUUCCGCCACAGAGCAGUUCGUUUCGUCUUGGGUGCUUUUUCUCUACCUAGACAGUGUCGACGACGUCAUCCACGUAGUGAACCACGUCCGGACCCCUAACAUUACCGACAUUAUUACCCUCGACGUAGUCGGGACGCCUUCGGCACUACGUAAAUUAAGCCAACAAAAUAAUUGCAUAUCAACAUAAAGUACGUGAACAAUAACUUCUUGCGGAUCAUCUGCCGUCAUCACAUUCUCGUAGAUGUUGGUCCUAACGGAUUAAAACUAGGGGUUUGAGUGAGCAAACAACGUAGGAAAAAUUUAACAGGCCAAUUUACGUACACUAGCCACUUCUACCUCUUUUCUAUUUCCUUUAUUAUUUUUUUUCUUUUUUUCACCAAAUCCCACCCAGCGUAGGAUGCACUUCCCGACGGACCCGUACGGGCUUGUAGGGGCAUAAACCACACCUACCUUAAACACCUGUUGGACCAGUACAUCUCUAUUUUACCCACAAACCAACCCACCGAAAAGGGGGAGAGUACAGGCCUGUCACUGUCCUACCGCUAGCCCGAGAAACUACCCUGUUAACUCCUCAGGCCAACAUCUACGAGAUUUGUUCC
rnacentral:rRNA from 1 species